rnacentral:tRNA from 1 species
AUUUAUAUAAUAUAAAUAUUAUAUUUAACUUCCAAUUAAAAAAUCUAAUUAAUUUAGUAUAAAUA